rnacentral:rRNA from 1 species
UACGGAGGGGGGCUAGCGUUGUUCGGAAUUACUGGGCGUAAAGCGCACGUAGGCGGCUUUGUAAGUCAGAGGUGAAAGCCCGGAGCUCAACUCCGGAAUUGCCUUUGAGACUGCAUCGCUUGAAUCCAGGAGAGGUGAGUGGAAUUCCGAGUGUAGAGGUGAAAUUCGUAGAUAUUCGGAAGAACACCAGUGGCGAAGGCGGCUCACUGGACUGGUAUUGACGCUGAGGUGCGAAAGCGUGGGGAGCAAACAGG